rnacentral:rRNA from 1 species
AACCAUUGGAAACGAUGGCUAAUACCGCAUGAUGCCUACGGGCCAAAGAGGGGGACCUUCGGGCCUCUCGCGUCAGGAUAUGCCUAGGUGGGAUUAGCUAGUUGGUGAGGUAAGGGCUCACCAAGGCGACGAUCCCUAGCUGGUCUGAGAGGAUGAUCAGCCACACUGGAACUGAGACACGGUCCAGACUCCUACGGGAGGCAGCAGUGGGGAAUAUUGCACAAUGGGCGCAAGCCUGAUGCAGCCAUGCCGCGUGUGUGAAGAAGGCCUUCGGGUUGUAAAGCACUUUCAGUCGUGAGGAAGGUAGUGUAGUUAAUAGCUGCAUUAUUUGACGUUAGCGACAGAAGAAGCACCGGCUAACUCCGUGCCAGCAGCCGCGGUAAUACGGAGGGUGCGAGCGUUAAUCGGAAUUACUGGGCGUAAAGCGCAUGCAGGUGGUUUGUUAAGUCAGAUGUGAAAGCCCGGGGCUCAACCUCGGAAUAGCAUUUGAAACUGGCAGACUAGAGUACUGUAGAGGGGGGUAGAAUUUCAGGUGUAGCGGUGAAAUGCGUAGAGAUCUGAAGGAAUACCGGUGGCGAAGGCGGCCCCCUGGACAGAUACUGACACUCAGAUGCGAAAGCGUGGGGAGCAAACAGGAUUAGAUACCCUGGUAGUCCACGCCGUAAACGAUGUCUACUUGGAGGUUGUGGCCUUGAGCCGUGGCUUUCGGAGCUAACGCGUUAAGUAGACCGCCUGGGGAGUACGGUCGCAAGAUUAAAACUCAAAUGAAUUGACGGGGGCCCGCACAAGCGGUGGAGCAUGUGGUUUAAUUCGAUGCAACGCGAAGAACCUUACCUACUCUUGACAUCCAGAGAACUUUCCAGAGAUGGAUUGGUGCCUUCGGAAACUCUGAGACAGGUGCUGCAUGGCUGUCGUCAGCUCGUGUUGUGAAAUGUUGGGUUAAGUCCCGCAACGAGCGCAACCCUUAUCCUUGUUUGCCAGCGAGUAAUGUCGGGAACUCCAGGGAGACUGCCGGUGAUAAACCGGAGGAAGGUGGGGACGACGUCAAGUCAUCAUGGCCCUUACGAGUAGGGCUACACACGUGCUACAAUGGCGCAUACAGAGGGCGGCCAACUUGCGAAAGUGAGCGAAUCCCAAAAAGUGCGUCGUAGUCCGGAUUGGAGUCUGCAACUCGACUCCAUGAAGUCGGAAUCGCUAGUAAUCGUGGAUCA